rnacentral:piRNA from 1 species
UCCAGUAUUAGGUGGGGGG